rnacentral:rRNA from 1 species
ACCCGUUAAGGCAUGAUUACCUGUACCCGAAACCGACACAGGUGGGGUGGUAGAGAAUACCGAGGGGCGCGAGGUAACUCUCUCUAAGGAACUCGGCAAAAUGACCCCGUAACUUCGGGAGAAGGGGUGCCAGCGCGAGCUGGUCGCAGUGAAUAGGCCCAGGCGACUGUUUACCAAAAACACAGGUCUCCGCUAAGUCGCAAGACGAUGUAUGGGGGCUGACGCCUGCCCAGUGCCGGAAGGUUAAAGAAGUUGGUCAGCGCAAGCGAAGCUAACGACUGAAGCCCCGGUGAACGGCGGCCGUAACUAUAACGGUCCUAAGGUAGCGAAAUUCCUUGUCGGGUAAGUUCCGACCCGCACGAAAGGCGUAACGAUCUGGGCGCCGUCUCGGAGAGAGGCUCGGCGAAAUAGAAUUGUCUGUGGAGAUGCGGACUACGUGCACCCGGACAGAAAGACCCUAUGAAGCUUUACUGUAGCUUGGUAUUGUGCUCGGGCUCGCAAUGCGCAGGAUAGGUGGGAGGCUUUGAUCCAUUGCUUGUGGGUGAUGGUGAGCCACUGGUGAGAUACCACUCUUUGCGAGCUAGGGUUCUAACGGUUACCCGUCAUCCGGGAACCGGACAGUAUCUGGUGGGCAGUUUGACUGGGGCGGUCGCCUCCUAAAAGGUAACGGAGGCGCGCAAAGGUUUGCUCAGGCUGGUUGGAAAUCAGCCGACGAGUGUAAAAGCAGAAGCAAGCUUGACUGUGAGACCUACAAGUCGAACAGGGAGGAAACUCGGCUUUAGUGAUCCGACGGUUCUGAGUGGAAGGGCCGUCGCUCAACGGAUAAAAGUUACUCUAAGGAUAACAGGCUGAUCUCCCCCAAGAGUUCACAUCGACGGGGAGGUUUGGCACCUUGAUGUCGGCUCAUCGCAACCUGGGGCUGAAGUCGGUCCCAAGGGUUGGGCUGUUCGCCCAUUAAAGCGGUACGCGAGCUGGGUUCAGAACGUCGUGAGACAGUUCGGUCCAUAUCCGGUGCAUGCGCAGGAAUAUUGAGAGGAUUUCUCCCUAGUACGAGAGGACCGGGAGGAACGCACCUCUGGUGUACCAGUUAUCGUGCCAACGGUAAACGCUGGGUAGCCAUGUGCGGAGUGGAUAACCGCUGAAAGCAUCUAAGUGGGAAGCCCACCUCAAGAUGAGUAUUCCCAUGGCUUAAGCCAGUAAGGUCACGGGAAGAACACCCGUUGAUAGGCUCUAUGUGGAAGCGCAGUAAUGCGUGAAGCAGAGGAGUACUAAUAGACC